GGCGCGUGCCUAACACAUGCAAGUCGUACGAGAAAGUUGGCUUCGGCCGAUGAGUAAAGUGGCGCACGGGUGAGUAAUGCGUGGAUAAUCUGCCCUUUAGUUGGGAAUAACGUACCGAAAGGUGCGCUAAUACCUGAUAAUACUGCAUAACUACUGUUGUGUAGUCAAAGAAGGCCUCUGUUUACAAGCUUUUGCUGAAGGAUGAGUCCGCGUACCAUUAGCUGGUUGGUGGGGUAAUGGCCUACCAAGGCUACGAUGGUUAGCUGGUCUGAGAGGAUGAUCAGCCACACUGGAACUGAGACACGGUCCAGACUCCUACGGGAGGCAGCAGUGAGGAAUAUUGCGCAAUGGGGGCAACCCUGACGCAGCAACGCCGCGUGAGUGAGGAAGGUUUUCGGACCGUAAAGCUCUGUCGAGCGGGAAGAAAUGUAUCAUGGCUAAUAUCCAUGAUACUUGACGGUACCGCUAAAGGAAGCACCGGCUAACUCCGUG
rnacentral:rRNA from 1 species